GCCCCGGUGGCCAAGCGGUAAGGCGUCGCACUCGUAAUGCGAAGACCGUGCGUUCGAAUCGCACCCGGGGCA
rnacentral:tRNA from 6 species